rnacentral:rRNA from 1 species
UACGUAGGUGGCAAGCGUUAUCCGGAAUGAUUGGGCGUAAAGCGUGCGUAGGCUGUUUCGUAAGUCGUGUGUGAAAGGCGCGGGCUCAACCCGCGGACGGCACAUGAUACUGCGAGACUAGAGUAAUGGAGGGGGAACCGGAAUUCUCGGUGUAGCAGUGAAAUGCGUAGAUAUCGAGAGGAACACUCGUGGCGAAGGCGGGUUCCUGGACAUUAACUGACGCUGAGGCACGAAGGCCAGGGGAGCGAAAGGG